rnacentral:rRNA from 1 species
UACAGAGGUCUCAAGCGUUGUUCGGAUUCAUUGGCGUAAAGGGGUGCGUAGGCGGCGCGGUAAGUCGGGUGUGAAAUCUCGGAGCUUAACUCCGAAACUGCAUUCGAUACUGCCGUGCUUGAGGACUGGAGAGGAGACUGGAAUUUACGGUGUAGCGGUGAAAUGCGUAGAUAUCGUAAGGAAGACCAGUGGCGAAGGCGGGUCUCUGGACAGUUCCUGACGCUGAGGCACGAAGGUCAGGGGGAGCAAACGGG